GCCAGACUCCUACGGGAGGCAGCAGUAGGGAAUUUUGCGCAAUGGGGGAAACCCUGACGCAGCAACGCCGCGUGAUUGAUGAAGCCCUUCGGGGUGUAAAGAUCUGUCAGUGGGGACGAAACUUGACGGUACCCACAGAGGAAGCAUCGGCUAACUCCGUGCCAGCAGCCGCGGUAAUACGGGGGAUGCAAGCGUUGUCCGGAAUCAUUGGGCGUAAAGAGUUCGUAGGUGGCACGUUAAGUCUGGUGUUAAAUGCAGAGGCUCAACCUCUGUUCGGCACUGGAUGCUGGCGAGCUUGAAUGCGGUAGAGGUAAAGGGAAUUCCUGGUGUAGCGGUGAAAUGCAUAGAUAUCGCGCAGAACUCCGAUUGCGAAGGCAGCAUGCCGGCUCCACACUGACGCUGAGGCACGAAAGCGUGGGUAUCGAACAGGAUUAGAUACCCCUGUAA
rnacentral:rRNA from 1 species